rnacentral:rRNA from 1 species
GGUAUUCGAGCUAUAGCUUAAACCUAAGAGCUUGGCGGUUUUCUAACUACAACCGGGGGAGCUUGUAAUUUAAAUGAUAAUCCGCAUUAAUCUUCACCUUUCUUACAACCCUCAGUGUUGUAUACCUCCGUCUAGUUAACCUCAAAGAGAAACAAAGUUAACUUCUCAUAUUAUAUGAUCUCCAAGUCAGGUCAAGGUGCAACUUAUAAAAAGGCUAUUAUGAGCUACAUUACAAUAGUUAAUGAAAUAAAAAAUAAAAAAAUUUUACAAAAUGGUACUCGGCAGAAAUAAAAUUUUAAAACCCUUUUAUGAACUACACCUAGAAAAUGCACACAUCGCCCGUCACUCUCGGAUCCCGGC